rnacentral:misc_RNA from 1 species
AAGUCGUAACAAGGUAUCCGUAGGUGAACCUGCGGAUGGAUCAUUACUGAUUUACCCCACUCUACGUACUGUGAACCGUCUUGAAAGGCCUGGUGUUAUGCCAGUGCCAAACUAUACGUAACUCUUAGACUAAAGUAAAACUAGUUGAACUACAUACAACUUUUAGCAAUGGAUCUCUUGGCUCUC